UACAGAGGGUGCGAGCGCUAAUCGGAAUUACUGGGCGUAAAGCGCGCGUAGGCGGCUUUUCAAGUCGAUUGUGAAAUCCCCGGGCUUAACCUGGGAACUGCAGUCGAGACUGUCUAGCUAGAGUAUGGGAGAGGGAAGUGGGAUUUCAGGUGUAGCGGUGAAAUGCGUAGAUAUCUGAAGGAACAUCAGUGGCGAAAGCGACUUCCUGGACCAAUACUGACGCUCAUGUGCGAAAGCGUGGGGAGCAAACAGG
rnacentral:rRNA from 1 species